CCUGGUAGUCUAUAGUGUCCUUUUAAACUAUUUUUAAAAAUUAUGUUUUAAUGCUAAACAAGAGUCUACAGCCCAUCCCCUCUGUGCUGCUUGGUCAAAUGAGGAAGACUGAGCAGCAGUUGGAAGCUCUGAUUGGCUAAAAGUGUCAGCUAACUACCUUCUGCCCGUAUGAAUGGGUGUAACUACAAGGACAUGUUUAUUCUCAGCCUUAGCCAUACCUGUAUUAGAGGUGGGGCUUUGGGUGGACAAGAACCCUUUAAAUGUUAAAAUGGUUUAACACCGAAUGAAAUCACAUUGCCACGGGACUCCAGGCACUACCAGUCCUGGAAUUUGUAUUUUUUUAAUUUAUUUUUUCUGGGGUGUGAUUCAACUCUUGGCUCUAGGCAGUCAGCCAGCCCAGAGCAUUCUAGUCUAACAGUAUCAAUAUUAUCCAUAGUUUGGAUGCAACACUGUUGAGAGUGUAACUAUAGCCUGCUUCACUGAACAGAGUACUGGGCCAGGUGAAAACUGAUAGUAACUACUGCACAAUUCUUUUAAUUUGUUCUUUGUCUUCUCUUCUUUUCCAAGAACACACAUAAAUGGUCAUUUAAAGGAACACUAUAGGGUCAGUAACAC